GUCGACUUCCUCUUCUCGCUCCUCACCUUGCCGGUCGGCACCAUCGUCAAGCUCCUCACCGUGGACUCCAUGGCCGGCAGCAUGGGAAACCUAUACGGCAGCGUCGACAAGCUCGACGACAGCUACGUCUGCUGUGAUGACGCCAAGAACGUCCUGCUCACGCCCGCCGGUGGUUGGGAUACGGCAACUGCAGGAACUACGCCAGCCAUGGAAACCCCGAUGCAGCCGCUUGUGGAGGAGUCGGAGGGCGGCUCGGAUGGGGGCGGCGUGCCUCGUGCUGCUGGCGCCGGCUUCGUGCAGGGGAUUGUGACCUACACUGUGAUGGACGACCUCAAUGUGUCGCCCAUGUCGUCCAUCUCUGGGAUCACCCUCCUCAACAACUUUGGCGUCACGGACAUCCGCUCGCUCCAGGAGAAGACCGUGCAGCUUGGCUAUGCCGAGGGUUUGGAUAUUCUGAAGGCGCCUCUGCAGUCAAAGACGGUUCUCACUGAUGUCUUCCUUGCGAAGAAGCGGCCCGAAGGGCUGAACUAG
rnacentral:rRNA from 1 species